UUGGUAGUGCAAUGCAGGUCCUUAACAGUUAGCAGCUCGGCAGUUGACAGCAAGACACUGCUAAUGGAACAGCACCUUUCUGCUGUAAAUACUUUCUUAUUUUGCUGUAAGUAAAAAAGGUUCUGCAUGCCUUCCAGAAGACAUUUUCUCUUUUUAAUUUCAGCCUGUUUGCAUGAUGUAUCUCACAGGGUUUGCAGUCAGGUUGCUCCUGCUUACUAGUCUUCAGGCUCUGCAGAAAGGACUUUCUUAGUAACAGCAAAACCGAGGCUGCAAAUGAACCUGGGUUUGGAGGCAGUAUAGCCUGAGCAUUAAAUAGCAUCCAAACCCCGAUGUGAAGAAGAUGCUGGCUGGAGAAACGGCAGCACAUGGAGCCUUUCAUCAAAGGGAUAUCAAAGCAUUCUGCAGCUGAACCUGGGAGGGAUAUGAAUAUGCUUAUUUUGACAGUUGUGCAGCACUGAGGCAGGCAGCCAACUGAUGAUUCUCCAGUACUUCGAUUCUGUGGCGUGUGACUGUGGGGAGGGAGAGCUGUCCCGUCACGGCAGCACAGUGGCACGUUUGACGUCUCCUGUUAAAGUGAGUGUGAAAUAAGAAGUAACACUAAAGAGAUUUUAACAGAUGUUUUAAGACAGCUGUAAAGAAACUACAAGGCAGAGAUGCCUUGCUGUCGUCUUGUUUAGCGUUCAUUGUAUUCCUAUCGCAGUACAUAGAGAUACUUCACUAGAUACGUAUGAAGCAGCAUAACCUUGCAGUGGCUCGUUUAAACUCAAGUACAGACAGCAACCCAGCCCUGCUUGGGUUUCAAUUGAGUUUCUUACCCACAGCAAAUUGUUCCUCCAGCUCUGUAGUAGCGCCUUCCUGUAAAACACUGCUGCAGCCUUAUCAAGAAAAUAUGCUAAAAUAGGAGUAGACCAUCAGAGAGCAAACCCAAACCGGCACACACAGCCCCUCUGAGGUGGGAGGGGCAGCGCUGGUUCAGCACUAAAAGCCAUUGUGUUGAAUAGUUUAAAAGUUUAUUUUAUGCUUUACAAGCACUUCUUGCCCAUUAGAAAUCGGUAUCAUCUGUGGAUCCUUUCCCAUCCAGGUCAGCAGUUUGGAUCCUGCCU